rnacentral:tRNA from 1 species
GGAGGGUACAGCUCAGUGGUAGAGUGUAUGCUUAGCAUGCACAAGGUCCUGAGUUCAAUCCUCAGCACCUCCA